UACGUAGGGAGCAAGCGUUACUCGGAAUUACUGGGCGUAAAGAGUGCGUAGGUGGUUUGGUAAGUCUGUCGUGAAAGCCCCGGGCUCAACCUGGGAAUGGCGAUGGAUACUGGCUCGCUAGAGUGCGGUAGAGGAGAGUGGAAUUCCCGGUGUAGCAGUGAAAUGCGUAGAGAUGCGGAGGAACACCGAUGGCGAAGGCAGCCCCCUGGGCCAAUACUGACGCUCAGGCGCGAAAGCGUGGGGAGCAAACAGG
rnacentral:rRNA from 1 species